rnacentral:tRNA from 1 species
GGAAGCAUGGCCGAGUGGACUAUGGCACCUGUUUUGAAAGCAGGCGAGGGAAAUCCUCCGUGGGUUCGAAUCCUACUGCUUCCGC